rnacentral:rRNA from 1 species
UACGGAGGGAGCUAGCGUUGUUCGGAAAUACUGGGCGUAAAGCGCACGUAGGCGGCGCAGCAAGUCAGGGGUGAAAUCCCGGGGCUCAACCCCGGAACUGCCCUUGAAACUGCAGUGCUAGAAUCUUGGAGAGGCGAGUGGAAUUCCGGGUGUAGAGGUGAAAUUCGUAGAUAUUCGGAAGAACACCAGUGGCGAAGGCGACUCGCUGGACAAGUAUUGACGCUGAGGUGCGAAAGCGUGGGGAGCAAACAGG